rnacentral:tRNA from 2 species
CCCCCGAUAGCUCAGUUGGUAGAGCGCCUGUCUGAAGAACAGGAGGUCGUCAGUUCGAUACUGGCUUGGGGGG